UAUGUAAUGCAUUGGUUGCUUCCAAAGUGUGCAUAUCUAUGCCCAGGGUACUGCUUUUCUGAACAGGCUAUAGUUGGCAUACUAAUAGAAAUUGUGAAAAGGCACCUGAAUUCCAAGAUAUUUCGUGGAAUUCGGGUGCCUUUUCACAAUUUCUAAAACAUCUUGGAAUUCUUGAGCAUGACUGUAUGGAAAUAUAUGGCGAAGUGUGCAUCUGCUGUGACAAAGGCAAAUGCCAUGUUGGGAAUCAGUAAGCAAGAAAAAAAACUAACAUCGUAUCCCCAUUAGGCAAAUACGUAGUGCUGCCAUGCUUUAGUAUAUUCGAUCCCAGGAGAAAUAUGGAAAAGUUACACAGGAGGACAAACAAAAUUAUACAGAGGGUGGAGCAGUUCCUUAAUGAGAAAAUAUAAGAUCUGGGCCUUUUUAACUUAGAGAAAAGUGAAUAAAGGGGAAAACAUAGGAAGCUUCUGUAUCAGACCAUUGAUCUGUCUAGCCCACUGCAAUUGAUAGUGCCAGUGGCAGUGGCUCUUUAGGACUCCAGACGGGGGUUUUUCCAGCCCAAUUUGAAGGCACCAGUCAUUGAGUCUGAGACCCCCGGCAAGCAAAGUACACUGGGCCCUUGGUAUCCCCUGGCUCCAGGACUCCCCUGAAUAUCAAAAUUCCUAGAUGCUCAAGUCCCAUUAUAUACAAUGCUAUAAUAAAAUCCUUUAUAUAAAUCAAGAUUUACUUUUUUGGAAUUUUAAAAAUUGUCAAGCUGUGCAUAACUGAAUCCAUGGAGACAGAAUCUAUAGAUACAGAACUGCAUAAGCUUUACCCCUGAGCUAUGUGUAUAAAAUGAUGAGGGAUAUGUAGAAAGCAAAUUGGGAAACUUUUCCUCCCUGAGAAGGGCACAAUAAAUGGAAGUGUGUAGGUCUUAGGGCUUCUUCACACAACACAGUUAAACUGUGGGACACACUGGCACAAGAAGUAGUGAUGGUGAAAUAUUUUAAACAGCAAAAUAUUUUAAACAUGAAAGGGAAGAGACAAUUGUUAGCUAUACUGUAUUACUUUCAAUAUGGUGUCUAGGGCCUCGUACAUGUGAAAAA